rnacentral:rRNA from 1 species
CACGGAGGGUGCAAGCGUUAUUCGGAAUCACUGGGCGUAAAGCGCGCGUAGGCGGUCUCUUAAGUCAGAAGUGAAAGCCCGGGGCUCAACCCCGGAAGUGCAUUUGAAACUAAGGGACUUGAGUAUGGGAGAGGGAAGUGGAAUUCCUGGUGUAGCGGUGAAAUGCGUAGAGAUCAGGAGGAACACCGGUGGCGAUGGCGACUUCCUGGACCAAUACUGACGAUGAGGCGCGAAGGAGUGGGGAGCAAACAGG